rnacentral:rRNA from 1 species
GAUGAACGCUGGCGGCGUGCUUAACACAUGCAAGUCGAACGAUGAAGCCCAGCUUGCUGGGUGGAUUAGUGGCGAACGGGUGAGUAACACGUGAGUAACCUGCCCUUAACUCUGGGAUAAGCCUGGGAAACUGGGUCUAAUACCGGAUAGGAGCGUCCACCGCAUGGUGGGUGUUGGAAAGAUUUAUCGGUUUUGGAUGGACUCGCGGCCUAUCAGCUUGUUGGUGAGGUAAUGGCUCACCAAGGCGACGACGGGUAGCCGGCCUGAGAGGGUGACCGGCCACACUGGGACUGAGACACGGCCCAGACUCCUACGGGAGGCAGCAGUGGGGAAUAUUGCCCAAUGGGCGCAAGCCUGAUGCAGCGACGCCGCGUGAGGGAUGACGGCCUUCGGGUUGUAAACCUCUUUCAGUAGGGAAGAAGCGAAAGUGACGGUACCUGCAGAAGAAGCACCGGCUAACUACGUG